GAUGAACGCUGGCGGCGUGCUUAACACAUGCAAGUCGAACGGAAAGGCCCAAGCUUGCUUGGGUACUCGAGUGGCGAACGGGUGAGUAACACGUGGGUGAUCUGCCCUGCACUUCGGGAUAAGCCUGGGAAACUGGGUCUAAUACCGGAUAGGACCACUUCUUGGAUGUUGUGGUGGAAAGUUUUUUCGGUGUGGGAUGAGCUCGCGGCCUAUCAGCUUGUUGGUGGGGUAAUGGCCUACCAAGGCGUCGACGGGUAGCCGGCCUGAGAGGGUGUACGGCGACAUUGGGACUGAGAUACGGCCCAGACUCCUACGGGAGGCAGCAGUGGGGAAUAUUGCACAAUGGGCGCCAGCCUGAUGCAGCGACGCCGCGUGGGGGAUGACGGCCUUCGGGUUGUAAACUCCUUUCGCUAGGGACGAAGCGUUUUGUGACGGUACCUGGAGAAGAAGCACCGGCUAACUACGUG
rnacentral:rRNA from 1 species